GACGAACGCUGGCGGCGUGCUUAACACAUGCAAGUCGAACGGAAAGGCCCUGCUUGCAGGGUGCUCGAGUGGCGAACGGGUGAGUAACACGUGGGUGAUCUGCCCCUUACUUUGGGAUAAGCCUGGGAAACUGGGUCUAAUACUGGAUAGGACCAUGCUGUAGGUGGUGUGGUGGAAAGAUUAGUUUCGGUAAGGGAUGAGCUCGCGGCCUAUCAGCUUGUUGGUGGGGUAAUGGCCUACCAAGGCGUCGACGGGUAGCCGGCCUGAGAGGGUGGACGGCCACAUUGGGACUGAGAUACGGCCCAGACUCCUACGGGAGGCAGCAGUGGGGAAGAUUGCACAAUGGGCGCAAGCCUGAUGCAGCGACGCCGCGGGGGGGAUGACGGCCUUCGGGUUGUAAACUCCUUUCAGCCAUGACGAAGCCCUUGUGGUGACGGUAGUGGGAGAAGAAGCACCGGCUAACUACGUG
rnacentral:rRNA from 1 species